rnacentral:sRNA from 1 species
GAAGAUGGCGGCAGCCGAGGCCGCGAACUGCAUCAUGGAGGUGUCCUGUGGCCAGGCGGAAAGCAGUGAGAAGCCCAACGCUGAGGACAUGACAUCCAAAGAUUACUACUUUGACUCCUACGCACACUUUGGCAUCCACGAGGAGAUGCUGAAGGACGAGGUGCGCACCCUCACUUACCGCAACUCCAUGUUUCAUAACCGGCACCUCUUCAAGGACAAGGUGGUGCUGGACGUCGGCUCGGGCACCGGCAUCCUCUGCAUGUUCGCUGCCAAGGCCGGGGCCCGCAAGGUCAUCGGGAUCGAGUGUUCCAGUAUCUCUGAUUAUGCGGUGAAGAUCGUCAAAGCCAACAAGUUAGACCACGUGGUGACCAUCAUCAAGGGGAAGGUGGAGGAGGUGGAGCUCCCGGUGGAGAAGGUGGACAUCAUCAUCAGCGAGUGGAUGGGCUACUGCCUCUUCUACGAGUCCAUGCUCAACACCGUGCUCUAUGCCCGGGACAAGUGGCUGGCGCCCGAUGGCCUCAUCUUCCCAGACCGGGCCACGCUGUAUGUGACGGCCAUCGAGGACCGGCAGUACAAAGACUACAAGAUCCACUGUGAGCGCGGCCCGGGAGCUGGCGGGCGGGGCCCCGGGUGGGCUGCUGCGGGCUCACCCCCUCCCUGCCUGCCUCCCCAGGGUGGGAGAACGUGUAUGGCUUCGACAUGUCUUGCAUCAAAGAUGUGGCCAUUAAGGAGCCCCUAGUGGAUGUCGUGGACCCCAAACAGCUGGUCACCAACGCCUGC